rnacentral:tRNA from 1 species
GUCCCCAUCGUCUAGGCGGCGUAGGUCACCGGCCUUUCACGCCGGCAACAGGGGUUCGAAUCCCCUUGGGGACGCCA